AUUGAACGCUGGCGGAAGGCUUAACACAUGCAAGUCGAGCGAGAGGCGGACGGGUGAGUAAUGUCUUGGAAACUGCCUGAUGGAGGGGGAUAACUACUGGAAACGGUAGCUAAUACCGCAUACCAUCAGAGAUGACCAGAUGGGAUUAGCUAGUAGUUGGGGUAAUGGCUCACCUAGGGGACUAUCCGUAGCUGGUCUGAGAGGAGGACCAGCCACACUGGAACUGUGCCACGGUCCAGAGUCCUACGGGAGGCAGCAGUGGGGAAUAUUGCACAAUGGGCGCAAGCCUGAUGCAGCCAUGCCGCGUGUAUGAAGAAGGCCUUCGGGUUGUAAAGCACUUUCAGCGAAGAGGCGUUACUCGCAGAAGAAGCACCGGCUAACUCCGUGCCAGCAGCCGCGGUAAUUC
rnacentral:rRNA from 1 species